ACAUCCAUUUUUCUCGAAUACUAUCUCUUACAGUAAUUAUUGUAUCGUACAAUUUGUUUUGAUGUUAGAUGGCAGCCUCAUAACCGGGAAACGUGAUUAUUAAUUUUAAUCGAGAAUGAUCCAAGCUGAAUAAGAGUUUUUCUCGUAUUUUAUCUAUUUGCCUUUGACAAUGCCAUAUCUUGUCUAUAUACACAUUUAUUAUGUAGUAAACAGAAACUCAUUUUGUGAGCAGCUUUCUAGUUGAAUAAAACGCAUAGUGGAUUUUCUAAAUUUCAAGUUCAGUCGUGGAGGGGAAACCAAAUAACAAAAUAGCAGAUUCACCUGUAGAGACGCCGCAGAGGAUAUUGACAGCCAACAUCGUGAGAAGCAGUUAGAAAAUACGCUGUCGUGUUGUUUCAUUGGAAUUUGUACGAAAUUGAGAACACUACAUCAACGUGUGCAGUAUCAGUUCAGUCAUCUCAACAACUAUAUCCAAAUCCAACUUAGCAACCUUUCCAGAACGAGUUUCAAAUCACAGCAGCUUCUAGAACCAUCUCAACAGUUUCCACAGAACGAGAUUCAAUUCUCUGCAGCUUCCAGAACCUACUUAUCACACUAAAAAUUUCAUUUGUUAACAAAAUAUCGACUCCUCUUGUGAGAAUUGAUUUGCCCCAUGGAAAUCGUCACAUCACAACAAUUACAUGUGGACAGCAGCACCAGCAGCAUCAUCAACUUCCACUCGUUCCACUGAUGAACCUCUUUGACAACUCUGGAGUUGAUGCCGACGAAGAUCAUCACUACGAGCGAAAUAUUUACCACAGUCACAUGACUUCAUCAACAUGCUCGAUGUAAACUGAUUUAAGGAACGGUCGCUAGCUUUCUGAAUACGAUUUCGGAAUGAUUCAUAAGGAGGUCACAAACAACCCCACGACUCUCAUCUCGAUACGCUUACAGAAGGCGAUAGAAGCAGGCAGUGGUCGUUAGAGCUUCAUGUAGUGCAGACCUGUGCACUAUCUGUUCAAGAGGAAGCGUCCCACUAGAAUCACUCGUACGCUCUUUCUUCCUCGAAAGGUUCCAUGUACCUUGAUGGUCUUUCAGAGAGGACAGCUCAUUUUUUGACGAAUCUUCAUAGUAUGCAGACGUGUGUUUAUUCUGUACAAACUUGUACAGUCAUUAAGCUGAAGUCUUAUGAAGCAGUUGUAUCAUAUUUGAAAGUAUUGAGCACCUCAAACAAGUCUACAAAUCUCAACUGAAGGUCAGAACUCAAGGUCCAUCCGAAAGUUUGCAGGAGUUUAGAACUGAAAUCGAAAGGUUGGUAAGAAGCACCUGAUAACUCCAUCCACUGUAUUAUCGUCUAUAGUUUCAUCAGUCGAAUUCGUAACACAGAGCUAAAAUGUCCUAAAUCUACAACGGAAUAUUCAAAGUGAGUAUCCGAACGCACUCUGGCAAAUUUCAGUUUAUUAUUGAAGGUCACUUUAAUUCUUGCAGACUCGAGUUUUUGAUUCAGAAUUUAAUUUUGAUUGUCCUAUUCAGUUCUUGGUUAAUAUAAUGCAUAUAUUGUUGUGAUAUGGAAUAGGUAAAUACCUUAUUUUCCUUCAACGCUGGUGUGUGUGAUGUGAUUUUUCUACGAAGCUGAAACUUGUGGAUAUUUCACUAGGAGUGGCAGGACAGAUAGGCUUUUCACUGAGUUUACUUUUGAUAAUCAGUAUAUAAUAUAAUUAUAUUCAAUUCUUAUGUUUGCAUACAAUAUUUUUCAAAUUUGUGGAGAGAACAAUUUGGCGUGGCGUUUCUCUUCGUCGCCUCAAAAAGAAUCCUGUUCAUUGACAAAAUAGUUGAAAAUCUAUUUCUUUUCCUAGUUACCACCUAUCAAUUUUCAUAUGUACAAACUUUCAACUCCUUUAUCAGGAAAAUUAUCUAUUUCACAAAUGUAACAUUGCUUCUCAAAUUUAGAUACAUUUUCAUUUCACAAUUUUGUACAAAAAAGUUAACCUCACUUAUGUGUAAAUACAAAUAUUUUUCAUAAGCAUCACUUGAUGUCCGUUUCUAAGGAAAUGGUUCACAACAAUAAUUUUUGAAUUCUACGUCAUUCCUAAUUAAUAACAAUUAGUUUAUUAUGCCUUUUUCGAUUUUUCCUCACAGAUAUUAAUUUAAUUCCAUCUGACAUUUCUUUCUAACCUACAUCGGUUGUCUUCUUUUCAAAUUCAUUGAAUUUUUAUGCACAAAUUUUGAUAUUUAAAUUUACCACUCUUUUGUAUUUGUUUCGUGAUGUUUUGAAAAUCCCCAUGCAGUGUUGUAUUCGAGUCUUUUCAUAACAGAUACCUCAAGUAUUGAAUAUAUUUUUUUAUCUAUA